GUUUCCGUAGGUGAAC
rnacentral:rRNA from 1 species